CCUUGGUGACUGAGCGGCGGACGGGUGAGUAACACGUAUCCAACCUGCCCUUUACUCGGGGAUAGCCUUUCGAAAGAAAGAUUAAUACCCGAUAGCAUAAUGAUUCCGCAUGGUUUCAUUAUUAAAGGAUUCCGGUAAAGGAUGGGGAUGCGUUCCAUUAGGUUGUUGGUGAGGUAACGGCUCACCAAGCCUUCGAUGGAUAGGGGUUCUGAGAGGAAGGUCCCCCACAUUGGAACUGAGACACGGUCCAA
rnacentral:rRNA from 1 species